GACGUAGGUGGCGAACGUUAUCCGGAAUUAUUGGGCGUAAAGGGUGCGUAGGCGGCAUAAUAAGUUAUUGGCGGGAAAUCGAGGCUCAACCUCGUGGAAACUGAUAAUACUGUUUUGCUUGAGUCCGGGAGAGGUGAGUGGAACUGCGAGUGUAGAGGUGAAAUUCGUAGAUAUUCGCAAGAACACCAGUGGCGAAGGCGGCUCACUGGCCCGGUACUGACGCUGAGGUGCGAAAGCGUGGGGAGCAAACAGG
rnacentral:rRNA from 1 species